UGCAUGAAGCCGGAAUCGCUAGUAAUCGCAGAUCAGAAUGCUGCGGUGAAUACGUUCCCGGGUCUUGUACACACCGCCCGUCACACCAUGGGAGUCGAUAACGCCCGAAGUCAGUGACCCAACCGAGAGGAGGGAGCUGCCGAAGGCGGGAUGGAUAACUGGGGUGAAGUCGUAACAAGGUAUC
rnacentral:rRNA from 1 species